UAGCUCAGUUAGGUAGAGCGCCUGGCUUUUAACCAGGUGGUCAGGGGUUCAAAUCCC
rnacentral:tRNA from 1 species